rnacentral:tRNA from 1 species
AUGCUUAUGGGCAAGGCUUUGGUGGCUCAUCAGAUUACAGUUCUGAUGCAAAUCCUGAGGUUUGGCGUUUCGUAAACAGC